rnacentral:rRNA from 1 species
CAGUAGCCGCGGUAAUACAGAGGGUGCGAGCGUUAAUCGGAUUUACUGGGCGUAAAGCGUGCGUAGGCGGCUUUUUAAGUCGGAUGUGAAAUCCCUGAGCUUAACUUAGGAAUUGCAUUCGAUACUGGGAAGCUAGAGUAUGGGAGAGGAUGGUAGAAUUCCAGGUGUAGCGGUGAAAUGCGUAGAGAUCUGGAGGAAUACCGAUGGCGAAGGCAGCCAUCUGGCCUAAUACUGACGCGGAGGUACGAAAGCAUGGGGAGCAAACAGGAUUAGAUACCCCGGUAGUCCCUGUCUCUUAUAC